rnacentral:rRNA from 1 species
UACGAAGGUGGCAAGCGUUGUUCGGAUUUACUGGGCGUAAAGGGAGCGUAGGUGGUUAGGUAAGCCCUCCGGGAAAUCUUCAGGCUUAACCUGAAAAGGUCGGGGGGGACUGCCUGGCUAGAGGACGGGAGAGGAGCGCGGAAUUCCCGGUGUAGCGGUGAAAUGCGUAGAGAUCGGGAGGAACACCUGUGGCGAAGGCGGCUUUCUGGGCCUUACCUGACGCUGAGACGCGAAAGCGUGGGGAGCGAACCGG